rnacentral:misc_RNA from 1 species
GUCCAGCGAUAUGUUUGGCAUAAAUGGUCAACGCCGGUCUUCUUCAUUCCAUUAUAAACAGUCAUCCUUGAGUGCAGAGGCUAAGAAGAGACUAUCAGAAAGGUGGAAAACUACUUGUGACUACCAUAACAUGGGUGUGGUUAGUAGGAGUUGCACACUGGCUGAGAUGCUUGCCAUGCCUGAGAAGGAAACUAUGCCUACAUGUAUGGAACCAAGGUAUCGAGGAGAAUCCAGUGGCAAAAUUUGUAAUGAU